GGCAGUUCUUGGGUGAUGCACCCCAGCAUGGGGCUCCUUCUUCUCUGGUUCCGGGUGCUUCACCCGAGAACCACA
rfam:Myotis davidii contig84087, whole genome shotgun sequence.